rnacentral:rRNA from 1 species
GUGAGGAAUAUUGGACAAUGGGCGCAAGCCUGAUCCAGCCAUGCCGCGUGCAGGAAGACGCAUCUAUGGUGUGUAAACUGCUUUUGUACGGGAAGAAACACUCCCUCGUGAGGGAGCUUGACGGUACCGUAAGAAUAAGGAUCGACUAACUCCGUGCCAGCAGCCGCGGUAAUACGGAGGAUCCAAGCGUUAUCCGGAAUCAUUGGGUUUAAAGGGUCCGUAGGCGGUUUAAUAAGUCAGUGGUGAAAGCCCAUCGCUCAACGAUGGAACGGCCAUUGAUACUGUUAGACUUGAAGUACAAGGAAGUAACUAGAAUAUGUAGUGUAGCGGUGAAAUGCUUAGAUAUUACAUGGAAUACCAAUUGCGAAGGCAGGUUACUACUUGUGGAUUGACGCUGAUGGACGAAAGCGUGGGGAGCGAACAGGAUUAGAUACCCCAGUAGUCC